CGCUGGCGGCGCGCCUAACACAUGCAAGUCGAACGGAGUUAUGUUGGCAGAAGUUUUCGGACGGACGCGGAUAUAACUUAGUGGCGAACGGGUGAGUAACACGUGAGCAACCUACCCUUCAGAGGGGGACAACAGUUGGAAACGACUGCUAAUACCGCAUAAGACCACGGUGUGGCAUCACACAGAGGUCAAAGGAGAAAUCCGCUGAAGGAUGGGCUCGCGUCCAAUUAGCUAGAUGGUGAGGUAACGGCCCACCAUGGCGACGAUUGGUAGCCGGACUGAGAGGUUGAUCGGCCACAUUGGGACUGAGACACGGCCCAGACUCCUACGGGAGGCAGCAGUGGGGAAUAUUGCACAAUGGAGGAAACUCUGAUGCAGCGACGCCGCGUGAGGGAAGAAGGUCUUCGGAUUGUAAACCUCUGUUGUCAGGGACGAUGAUGACGGUACCUGACGAGGAAGCCACGGCUAACUACGUGCC
rnacentral:rRNA from 1 species